rnacentral:lncRNA from 1 species
CACCGAUGCAGCCUGAAGGAUGGCUUCUCCCUUUCUGCUUCCCAACCAAAAAAUAAUGGAUUCUCUCCCCAUCUGUCUGCCUCGGAGACAUCAGAGAUCACUAACGUUUCUCCUCACCCACCUUCCUUCCACGCAGACUGAGAUCCUGGUGGUCUUGGGAGAGGAAGAUGCCAGGAGAGGGAUUGGUGGAAGAGCACUUUACCCCCUUGUGAUCCUCAGAGACGGAUUCCUCCAAAUGAUAAACAUCAGUUCCUGAUCUGCCUCUCCCUUGGGGAUAAGUGAAAACUGCAGGAGAAGGAAGGCCCUAAAGGUGGAUAGAGUCCUUCCUGCUGGCCCCUGCCUAGUUUCUGCUCUCAACGGUUCAGGAGGCCUUAAGGAGAGGUAGGAUAUCUAGUCAUGGCUUUCUCCUAUCCACCAUCCCACAACCUCUCUCCAGGUAUGUGAACUAUGGUAGGAGAAGUGAUGCGUCUGCCAAUGUGAAAGGUGGGAAA